rnacentral:rRNA from 1 species
GACGAACGCUGGCGGCGUGCUUAACACAUGCAAGUCGAACGGAAAGGCCCUGCUUUUGUGGGGUUCUCGAGUGGCUAACGGGUGAGUAACACGUGAGUAACCUGCCCUUGACUUUGGGAUAACUUCAGUAAACUGGGGCUAAUACCGGAUAGGAUCUCCUGCUGCAUGGUGGUGGUUGGAAAGUUUCGGCGGUUGGGGAUGGACUCGCGGCUUAUCAGCUUGUUGGUGGGGUAGUGGCUUACCAAGGCUUUGACGGGUAGCCGGCCUGAGAGGGUGACCGGCCAAAGUGGGACUGAGAUACGGCCCAGAAUGCAAGGGGAGGCAGCAGUGGGGAAUAGUGCACGAUGGGCGGAAGCCUGAUGCAGCAACGCCGCGGGCGGGAUGACGGCCGUCGGGUUGUAAACCGAUUUAGGCUGUGACGAAGCGUGAGUGACGGUAAUGGGUAAAGAAGCACCGGCUAACUACGUG